UACGGGGGGAGCAAGCGUUGUUCGGAUUUACUGGGCGUAAAGGGCGCGUAGGCGGCACCGCAAGUCGACUGUGAAAUCUCCGGGCUUAACCCGGAAAGGUCAGCCGAUACUGCGGGGCUAGAGUGCAGAAGGGGCAACUGGAAUUCUCGGUGUAGCGGUGAAAUGCGUAGAUAUCGAGAGGAACACCUGCGGCGAAGGCGGGUUGCGGGGCUGACACUGACGCUGAUGCGCGAAAGCUAGGGUAGCAAACGGG
rnacentral:rRNA from 1 species